rnacentral:misc_RNA from 1 species
AACUUCUCAACCACAUCAUCGCGAUGUGGCUUGGAUGGUGGGGGUUUUUGCAGGCCCUUUCUUGUCUGUCUGCUCCCCUGAAAUGCAUUAGCGGUAUCUGAGCUGCUGCUGUAGGCGUGAUAAAUCUAUCUAUGCCUUUGGUAUGCUGCAUGAACAGAUUGCGCCGCUUCCAAUGAUGUAAAAUAACCUGACGA